GGAGUCUGGGCCGUGUCUCAGUCCCAAUGUGGCCGUUCAACCUCUCAGUCCGGCUACCGAUCGUCGACUUGGUGAGCCGUUACCUCACCAACUAUCUAAUCGGACGCGAGCCCAUCUUUCAGCGAUAAAUCUUUGGCUGCUCGAUGAUGCCAUCAAGUAGUCUUAUGCGGUAUUAGCAGUCGUUUCCAACUGUUGUCCCCCUCUGAAAGGCAGGUUGCUCACGUGUUACUCACCCGUCCGCCACUCAGUCAUACCCCCGAAGGAGUAUGCUUCGUUCGACUUGCAUGUGUUAGGCACGCCGCCAGCGUUCAUC
rnacentral:rRNA from 1 species